rnacentral:misc_RNA from 1 species
AACGGUCUAUACCUGCGGUACCUGCGGAAGGAUCAUUACCGAGUUAUCCAACUCCCAACCCCUGUGAAUCAUACCUUUAAUUGUUGCUUCGGCGGGACUUCGCGCCCGCCGGGGACCCAAACCUUCUGAAUUUUUUAAUAAGUAUCUUCUGAGUGGUUAAAAAAAAUGAAUCAAAACUUUUAACAAUGGAUCUCU